AAUAAGUGCAGUUUUUACAGUUCAUGUCCAACGUUUGACCGUUCGUCUUAUUUAUUUAUUUUUAUGAUUAGUAUUUUUCUUGUUAUUAGAUGAUAAAACAUAAAUAUUACUUUAUGUGUGACUAAUUUUUUUAACUUUUUCAUAAACUUUUCAAUUAAGACAAACGGUAAAACGUUGAAUACGAAUAUCCACAGCUGCACUUAUU
rfam:Oryza sativa Japonica Group DNA, chromosome 1, cultivar: Nipponbare, complete sequence.